rnacentral:rRNA from 1 species
GACGAACGCUGGCGGCGUGCUUAACACAUGCAAGUCGAACGGAAAGGCCUCUUUCGGGGGGUACUCGAGUGGCGAACGGGUGAGUAACACGUGAGUAACCUGCCCUUGACUUUGGGAUAACCUCAGGAAACUGGGGCUAAUACCGGAUAGGAGCUCCUGCUGCAUGGUGGGGGUUGGAAAGUUUCGGCGGUUGGGGAUGGACUCGCGGCUUAUCAGCUUGUUGGUGGGGUAGUGGCUUACCAAGGCUUUGACGGGUAGCCGGCCUGAGAGGGUGACCGGCCACAUUGGGACUGAGAUACGGCCCAGACUCCUACGGGAGGCAGCAGUGGGGAAUAUUGCACAAUGGGUGGAAGCCUGAUGCAGCAACGCCGGGUGCGGGAUGACGGCCUUCGGGUUGUAAACCGCUUUCGCUCAUGACGAAGCUUUGUGUGACGGUAGUGGGUAAAGAAGCACCGGCUAACUACGUG